GGCCGCCCAUCGUCUGGGAAGUGAGGAGCGCCUCUGCCCGGCCAUCCCGUCUCGGAAGUGAGGAGCGCCUCUGCCCGGCCACCCAUCGUCUGGGAGGUGAGGAGCGCCUCUGCCCGGCCACCCCGUCUGGGAAGUGAGGAGCGCCUCUGCCAGGCCAUCCCGUCUCGGAAGUGAGGCACGCCUCUGCCCGGCCGCCCAUCGUCUCGGAAGUGAGGAGCGUCUCUGCCCGGCCGCCCAUCGUCUGGGAAGUGAGGA